CUUCGCUCGUAUUAUUAUUGUUUAUUUUCUCUUUCACGUAACCCGGCGCCGACCUGACCAUGGAAAUUAAGGCCGCGAACGAGUCCCCGGGCCGCCAGUGUAUAGUAUUCGUGUCUGGAGACGCCUCAAGGUCCAAGAUUUACAACAUAUCUUCGUUCGACUAUAUAUGCUGACGUGUCUUUAGAGAUUAAAUAAUACACGUACAUCGCAGUAUUGUUUAAACUUUGGUUGAAUAUUGUAGACUACAGUCAAAUAAUACAAGACGCAUCACAACAAAUUAUUGAUUUAUCAUAAUAUUUGGGCGGCAGGGUAUAUUUAUAU